GGCAGUCAGAGGCGAUGAAGGACGUGCUAAUCUGCGAAAAGCGCCGGUAAGGUGAUAUGAACCGUUAUAACCGGCGAUGUCCGAAUGGGGAAACCCAGUGUGACUCGUCACACUAUCAUUAACUGAAUCCAUAGGUUAAUGAGGCGAACCGGGGGAACUGAAACAUCUAAGUACCCCGAGGAAAAGAAAUCAACCGAGAUUCCCCCAGUAGCGGCGAGCGAACGGGGAGGAGCCCAGAGCCUGAAUCAGCAUGUGUGUUAGUGGAAGCGUCUGGAAAGGCGCGCGAUACAGGGUGACAGCCCCGUACACAAAAGCGCAUGUGCUGUGAGCUCGAUGAGUAGGGCGGGACACGUGGUAUCCUGUCUGAAUAUGGGGGGACCAUCCUCCAAGGCUAAAUACUCCUGACUGACCGAUAGUGAACCAGUACCGUGAGGGAAAGGCGAAAAGAACCCCGGCGAGGGGAGUGAAACAGAACCUGAAACCGUGUACGUACAAGCAGUGGGAGC
rnacentral:rRNA from 2 species